AUUGAACGCUGGCGGCAUGCCUUACACAUGCAAGUCGAACGGCAGCACGGGUGCUUGCACCUGGUGGCGAGUGGCGAACGGGUGAGUAAUACAUCGGAACAUGUCCUGUAGUGGGGGAUAGCGCGGCGAAAGCCGGAUUAAUACCGCAUACGAUCUACGGAUGAAAGCGGGGGGCCUUCGGGCCUCGCGCUAUAGGGUUGGCCGAUGGCUGAUUAGCUAGUUGGUGGGGUAAAGGCCUACCAAGGCGACGAUCAGUAGCUGGUCUGAGAGGACGACCAGCCACACUGGGACUGAGACACGGCCCAGACUCCUACGGGAGGCAGCAGUGGGGAAUUUUGGACAAUGGGCGAAAGCCUGAUCCAGCAAUGCCGCGUGUGUGAAGAAGGCCUUCGGGUUGUAAAGCACUUUUGUCCGGAAAGAAAUCCUUGGCCCUAAUACGGUCGGGGGAUGACGGUACCGGAAGAAUAAGCACCGGCUAACUACGUG
rnacentral:rRNA from 1 species